CAUUGGGCUAGAGUGCUGCAACUGUUUGCCAACGCCAGUGUUCAUCAAGGGACUUGAAGAAAUGGAUGAGGGGGAUCCUUGUUCACACAACAUGAACGUCAAUGACUUUUGUGUAUGAACAUUACACCAACUACUAUAUCUCUUCGAGAGGUGAUCUUCAGUGGCCAGCACGGUCAACAUAUUUAGCCCUCUGUGGCUUUUUCUUAUAGUGCUAUCUUAAAUAUUUGAUGGAGUGGUGCAACAAUAUUUGUGCUACUAUUGCCAACAUCGACAGAGACAUGCUAGACAAAAUAGACUGAAACUUCCAAUUUUUACUCUCCAAGUGCACUGAGCAAAAUGGAGGCUGUCUUCAAGAAUCAUUAUCAAAACAUAAUAAAAUAAAACUUUAAAUGUACCUCUACAUAAAGAAGAGAGAAUUAAAUUGAUAUCAUCAAUA